GUGUGAUGCUGGGCUUCACAGAGCAAGAUGCAGGAAUGAGGAAGCCACUGGGGAAGAAGAUAUAGAAGAGCAACUAAGGUAAAACCAAAGCCAGAAACAUCAACUCACUUGCCCAAGAGCACUUGCAUAGGAAAAGAAGCCAAAGUCUUAAAGUUGGCAACCUGGAGAUCAAGACGGCUCUUGGACAGAUGUCCAGGGCUGACUGCCCAGAGAUGGCAUCUCCACAGUGGACGGGCCCUUCCACAUCAAUCAUUAAUCAAGAAAACGCCUACAGACUUCCAUCUACACGCCAAUCUUAUGGAAAAAUAUUCUCAAGU
rnacentral:lncRNA from 1 species